UGGGGGUAAAUUUAAUAGAGUUAAAAUAAUAAAAAAAAUUUUAAAGUAAAAUAUAAUUUAAUGGGGGUUAAAGUAUAGUUUAUGUAAAAAAUUUUUAAUUUUAUAGAUGAUUAGUAUUGAAAAAGAAAUAUGAAAUAAUUGAAAAUUAAUUAAUAAAAAAGUAAAUUUAAUUUGUUGUAUCUUGUGUAUCAGAGUUUAUUAAUAAUUUUUUUUUAUUUAAAAAUUUCUCGAAUUUAAAAGAGUUAAUUAGUUAAAAAAGUUAUUGUUUUAAAAAUAUUUUAAAUAAUUAAUUUGAAAUGAAAUGUUAAUCGUUUUUAAAUAUAUCUAGUUUUUUUAGAAAUAAAUUUAAUUUAUAAUUUUUUUUUAUUAAAAUAAAAUUGAUUUUUAUUUUAAUAUAAAAAAUUUAAUAUUUUAAGGGAUAAUCUUUAAAUUAAAUUCUUAUAAAUUUAAUUUAUAUAAAAUUGAAUUUUUUAAAAUUUAUAUUGUUUAUAAAUUGUAUAUUUUUAUAAAAAUUUUUAUUUUGAAUAAAAUUUUUAAUUAAAAUUUAAAUUUUUAUAAAAAAAUAAUUUUUAAUUAUCAAAUUUUAGAUUUAAUGAUAAAAUUAGUAUAAAUAUUAAAUAAAAUAAAAAUUAAUUUAAUAAUUAAAAUAAAAGGAAUUUGGCAAAAAUUUAUAUUCACCUGUUUAACAAAAACAUGUCUUUUUGAUUAUAAUUUAAAGUCUAAUCUGCCCACUGAUAAUUUAUUAAAGGGCUGCAGUAUAUUGACUGUACAAAGGUAGCAUAAUCAUUAGUCUUUUAAUUGGAGACUUGUAUGAAAGAUUUGAUGAAAUAUAAACUGUCUCUUAUUUAAAAUUAUAAUUUAAUUUUUUAGUAAAAAAGCUUGAAUAAAUUUAAAAGACGAGAAGACCCUAUAGAGUUUUAUAAUUAAUUUAAUUAAUUAUUUAUAUAAAUUUUAAUUAAAAAUUAAAAUUAAUUAUUUAAUUGGGGUGAUUAAAAAAUUUAAUUAACUUUUUUUUUAUAAAUACAUUAAUUAAUGAAAUUUUGAUCCAUAAUUUAUGAUUAAAAGAGAAAAUUACCUUAGGGAUAACAGCGUAAUUUUUUUUUUUAGUUCUUAUAAGAAAAAAAGUUUGCGACCUCGAUGUUGGAUUAAGAUAAAAUUUAAAUGUAGAAGUUUAAAAUUUUUGAUCUGUUCGAUCAUUAAAAUCUUACAUGAUCUGAGUUCAAACCGGUGUGAGCCAGGUUGGUUUCUAUCUUUAAAAAAUUAAAAUAUUUUAGUACGAAAGGAUUAAAUAUUUAAAAUAAUUUUAAUUUAAGAAUUUUAAUAAUAAUUAUAUGCAUACAUAUACAUAGAUAUAUUAAUACAUAAGUAGUUUGUAA
rnacentral:rRNA from 1 species